GAACUUAAAGCCGUGAAAGCUGUGGUGAAAAGAGACGCCUCGUACCGAAUUUUUGUGAAGCGUAUUGCGAUGCACGUGCCUUUGGAGGUUGUAAAGGAGAAGUUUUCGUCUUUUGGAAAAAUAAUGGAUAUAGAGGAAAACCCUCGUUCGGGAAUGAAUCGUUCGAUUUUCAUUACCUUUUACGACCACGAUGCAGUUAGGAUGGCCUUAACGACUCAACCUCUCAUUCUAAACGGCGAAAACAUGAAGGUAUUGCCAUGGAUGGUGAUGGGAGCUGUAGGCCAAAAUGUUGGAAAUCCUUGUCCUCGUGGAGCAUACAUUGGAGGCGUUGGUGGUGGCGGAGACAAUGGCGAAGCCGGUGCCGCUGGAGGCCAUGCCGAAGCUGAUGCCGCUGGAGAGGUUGGUGAGGUUGGUGCCGCUGGAGGCGUUGUUGAAGCUGGUGCCGCUGGAGGGGUCGGCGAGGUUGGUGCCGCUUGGAGAAAUUGGCUGAAGCGUUGGCGGAGCUGUUAACCGCCGCAUUGCCCAAGGCGGUGGUGGAGUCGGUGCCAACCGCCGCUAGGCCAGUUUGUUAAUACAUGUUCCCUAUGGAGCCAUUCCGGCUGAACACAGUAUGAAAAUUUGUAUUCCCCCCUCCCUCUUGUUCUGGAAUCUAACGAUUCGUAAUUCCAAUGCCCAUUCUUUUCGGUGCCCUUCGAGAUCUUGUCUUUGCUAUGGAGCCCAGCCCGAAGAGAACGAAGACAGACAUGAGGACCUUGUCUAACAAAGACCUAAACUCCAUCCGCAAGAUGACGUUGGCGUUCGAGAAGACCCUUCGCCUGAAAAACCAACAGAAUAUGGAGAUUGAAGAGGAAUUGAAGGCUGUUAAAAGCAGUUGUGAAGCGAGAUCCUUCAUACCGAAUCUUUGUUAAGCGGAUUGCCAUGAAUGUACCGUUGGAGUUGAUUAAGAAGAAGUUUUCUGUCUUCGGAAGGAUUAUGGAUUAUUAUUAUCGACUUCUAAAGAAUCUAACGACUUCUAAGAAAGAAAGAUCGAGUUCUAAAAGAAUUUUGUCGUUGAAUGUCCGCACGGAAUCUCUUUCCUCAAAAUCUCCUCUCGGAUAGACGACAGAGAGUGAGAGAAAUCCUCCUGUCGAUGGGAGCGCGUGACGUGUUCUGCCGUGUCUCGAAAAAAAGGAAGAGAGGUAUUGAAAUUGGGGGGUGAGAGAAGGCAGCUAAUAAAUGAGGGAGUGCAACAUUGCCACAUAAAUUUUGGGAGAUAGAUGAAUAUUUAUGCGUUUUAUCUGGCAACGCAGCGUGGAGAAGCAGGUGCGGGCAUGUAUUUUCAAAGAUCAUUGAGUAAGAACAAAGGAGUAAGCUCGCUCUACUCCUUUGUUUAGUACGCGCUUACACUGUUCUUGUUUACAAUUGUUCUUACUCCAUGAUCUUUGAAAAUACAUAUGAUAGCCUAUCGUCGUUCGUCGAAUUCGUAAUUCGUCGAAAGCACCCUUGAUUUUCAACGUUUUCCCUAUAACUUUGAGUCUUAUCGGUUAACGGUAAGUGAGUUUGGGGGUCGCUUUAAUCGAAUUGAGAUGGAAUUCCUAUCGGGAAACUGCUACAUUUGAAUUCAUCUUCAUUCCAGUCGAUUU
rnacentral:misc_RNA from 1 species